UACGUAGGGGGCUAGCGUUGUCCGGAAUCAUUGGGCGUAAAGCGCGCGUAGGCGGCCCGGUAAGUCCGCUGUGAAAGUCAAAGGCUCAACCUUUGAAAUGUCAGCGGAUACUGCCGGGCUAGAGUCCGGAAGAGGCGAGUGGAACUCCUGGUGUAGCGGUGGAAUGCGCAGAUAUCAGGAAGAACACCAACGGCGAAGGCAGCUCGCUGGGACGGAACUGACGCUAAGGCGCGAAAAGCGUGGGGGAGCGAACAGGA
rnacentral:rRNA from 1 species